UAUAACACAAUACCCACAUAAACUAUAGUACAAUACAACUACUCUCGUGAUAUCUUUCCUACAUGACAAUCUCAUAGAACACUUAUUAUAAGACUAACCCAAUUACACCCAUAAGAAUAACCCAAUUCUCCAAUCUCUCUCUAUAUCUCAUCUCUAUUUAUACCCAACUUUCCAAUCACUCUUUAAAUCUCAUCUUAUAACCACUUACCAAUAAAAUGAUGAACACCCAAAAUGAGCACCAAACCGCUCUACCAACAGGAACAACAAAGUUGGUAUUUCUUCCAACUUAAAUCCACCGUAGAGCUAGCCAAAUUCAUCAUCCAACAUCCCCAUCAAUUCUUCCAUAGUCAUCCUCAUCAUCGACGCCUUCGUUCACUAUCAAUCUCUCAAAUAUUUCCAACCCACUCGAAGUUCCUCACCCGAAUUCAUUCGGAUCCUCAUUGAACUCGACAAACCUCUAAAUCAUAGUCUCUCUCUAUAUUUUGGGGUUUGUGAAAGGUGAUUUGGGGAAGUUCGAAAGAGCGUUGGUGGUAGUUGACGACGGCGAUGGAGGUGGUGUCAUAAAAUUAUUUCUUUUUCCUGGUAUAUUCCUUUUGAAAAUCAGAGGUUGUAGAUAAUGGAACCGAGUAAUAGAGGAAGAAGGGAGAAGAGGAAGAAGUGUGAAGGAAACUGUGCAAAUUGUGUAACUUCUAAUGGUGUGAAUUAGUUUUUUUUCUUCUUGGAAGGAAGGAGUGGGAACUGCCGUAUUUUAUUUGUUUGAGUGAUGUAAUUCUUUUUUUAUUUUUUAAUUAAUGUUGAAUGUGUUGUAGUUGCAUUACAGUAACUGAGAUUUGUUUAAUUUAGGAAGGGUAAAAUGGGGUUUCCCUUAUUUUGGUGUCCCCCGCGUCUUCCCAUAUAGAAUAAAGAUUAAGCGUCUUCUUUUUAGGGAAAGUGUGUCAAGCGUGAGAUUCAAAGUAUACAAAAAUAGGUUAAUGCUUCAAUUACCUUAUUUCACAUAAUCAAAUAAUAUAUCAUAUUAAUGAUAAUUGUAGAUA